GACGAACGCUGGCGGCGUGCUUAACACAUGCAAGUCGAACGGAAAGGCCCUGCUUUUGUGGGGUGCUCGAGUGGCGAACGGGUGAGUAACACGUGAGUAACCUGCCCUUGACUUUGGGAUAACUUCAGGAAACUGGGGCUAAUACCGGAUAGGAGCUCCUGCUGCAUGGUGGGGGUUGGAAAGUUUCGGCGGUUGGGGAUGGACUCGCGGCUUAUCAGCUUGGUGGUGUGGUAGCGGCUUACCAAGGCUUUGACGGGUAGCCGGCCUGAGCGGGUGACCGGCCACAUUGGGACUGAGAUACGGCCCAGACUGCUACGGGAGGCAGCAGUGGGGAAUAUUGCACAAUGGGCGGAAGCCUGAUGCAGCAACGCCGCGUGCGGGAUGACGGCCGUCGGGUUGUAAACCGCUUUCGCCUGUGACGAAGCGUGAGUGACGGUAAUGGAUAAAGAAGCACCGGCUAACUACGUG
rnacentral:rRNA from 1 species